rnacentral:rRNA from 1 species
UCUANGGUGGCAGCAGUGGGGAAUUUUGGACAAUGGGGGCAACCCUGAUCCAGCCAUGCCGCGUGCGGGAAGAAGGCCUUCGGGUUGUAAACCGCUUUUGUCCGGGAAGAAAAGGCACCCCCUAAUACGGGGUGUUCUUGACGGUACUGGAAGAAUAAGCACCGGCUAACUACGUGCCAGCAGCCGCGGUAAUACGUAGGGUGCGAGCGUUAUCCGGAAUUACUGGGCGUAAAGCGUCUGUAGGCGGCUUUUCAAGUCGGGUGUGAAAUCUUACGGCUCAACCGUAUAGACUGUGCCCGAAACUGAUCGGCUAGAUGUAGGUAGAGGCAAGUGGAAUUUCUGGUGUAGGAGUGACAUCCCUAGAUAUCAGAAGGAACACCAAUGGCGAAGGCAGCUUGCUGGGCCUUACCUGACGCUCAGAGACGAAAGCGUGGGGAGCGAACGGGAUUAGAUACCCUANUAGUC